UCAAAUAAAAAUGCACAUAGUAAUUAAUUUGUUUUAUGCACCGUUUUAACACAUGUAAUAAAGAUUUAUUUUUUUAUUUUAAAAAAUAGACCACCAACCUGUUACUGGGGACAAAACUGAAGUGAAACUAAAAUUUUCUGAAUGACCAUAUACUGUAGUCAAUAUCAUGUUAAAAUAAACAAGAUGAAGAAGAGCAUAUUGUUUUUACACUUAUUAUAGAAAACCCAAACAGAUUAGACUAAGGAAGCAUUUGUUUGUUCUGGCUGUUUCCAGGACAAAGUCCAAAAGUCCCAGUCGGUUGAGCAAUUGCUGUGGCAGUAACAGCUAUAACAGCUUUUGUCCAUUACUCUUUAUUAUAAAUUCACAUUGUAGAAAAAAAUAUACCAGUGCACUCCUUAAGUUUUACUAGUAUGCAAAGGAUUGUAUUUAGCAUUCUUCCAUUGGCCAGUUUAACCUCUCUUCUUCACCCCAUUUUACAGUCAGGUUGUAUGAUCUUUCAGGCACAUGAUUACUCUUUGUCUCAAAAACAAGUUGCUUCAUGUCCUGACAUCUAGUCAUCAGUUCCCUAUUUCUCACAACGGCAUUUCUCCUCCUUUUGUAUUUAAUUUUCUACUAUUUUUCUACUUUUUCUGAAAUGGUCAGGCCAUUUAAUCAAAAACAGUUAUCCGAUGAAACCACAUCACCAUUUGAAUGAAUAUGUAUAUACAGUAUACACCUGCUACCACUGGUCAGGCAGUAGCAGCCCCUGUAUACAAUCGAUAUGCCAGAAAUUCACGUUGUAUUAAUAGCCUGUAUUAUCAGGGUUAAAUGUGAUUAUUAAUCACAUAAUGAUGCAGUACAGAAGUUUAUUAUAGGAAGAAAAAAACUGCUCAUAUUCUCUACUUUGGCAGCGCUGCCUUUCAGUACUGCUGUGGAUGAUUGACAGAGAUUUGAUCACAUCCUCUCUAUAAUCACCUUCACUCAGAAUCACUUGGUUUGGUCAGUGAUUUUCUUCAUCAAGAAUGACUUAAGUUUGGAUGCAAUCAUUUUAAGAAAUGAGUAAAGUUUACCAAAAACACACACAGUAUAUAGUAUUUAAUACACAGUAUAUAGUAUUUAAAUUAUUUAUUUUUGUUUUUUUAUUUUCACCAAUGAGUUUUUACCGUCGUCAAAGCACGCUCUUUCUAUCAAAGAAAAAGUUCUAAGAGACUAUACCAACUUAAAAAAAGAAAAAAAGAACGUGAAUGUCAGCGGUCAGCUCUUGGGGGCUCGCUGAUAUUGGAACGUUUGUAUAACGGAAGUAGGAAUACGUCGUACGCUCCUUAUUUCCGGUUGCGGAUCCGGCGCAUGAGACACCAGUGUUAGCCAUUUGGGCUUCCAGUAGGCGUUCAAGUCAAACAUUCGGGCACAGUGGCUACAUCUGAUUGAUUGAAAUGGGUGCAGUAAAAAUGUUUCAUGAACACUCCUUCAACAUGAGGGAUCCACAACAGAUCGGUAGGUAAUAGUCACAUGGAACGUAAACAAACUAAUACCGUAAAAGAAACAUGACUGCAGAUAGAACACGGCUUCCUGAUUACUGCUAAAGUAAUAGUUUGCACACAAUAUUAUAAAAAUGAAAUACUGUAGGAAAUAAUUAAUCAGAGACAGCAUCUUUUGUAGAGCUUGUGAUAAUGAGGAACAUUUUUUUGGUUUGUUUAUUUGUCAAUAUUCUGGAGAAGCCCUGAAGAAAUCUAAGGAGCGCAGCAGGCACAUCAACAACGCCUGUAGACCUCACCAUGUUCAUCAGUGUCUCAAAGGACAACGCCGCCAAGCUCUUUGACUCUGCAUUACAUCAAGACUUUUAAAACCGAGAGACCCUGACGCCAUUUCUCCAAUCACAUAAGAGGAGUACACUCUGCAAUCCGUAUCCUACUAGAUCAAAGUGACCUUGAACCUUGCAAUUGUGUGUGUUGUAGGUGGUUAUGGGAGGUGGGCAGGAGGCUAUGGAAGUGACCACAACCUCCACCAGGAUUGACAAACUUGAGGCCAGGUUCUUCUAUGCUGUGUAGUAGGAGGAGGAGUUUGGCAGAGUGAAAGGUCAUUUUGUCCCAUCAACUGUGUGGCGUUCCACACCAAGAGAUGCAAUAGAGGAGAAAAUGGACACGUGCACAGAAUGACCUUUGACUCUGCAAACACCAUUUUGGUCCAAUCAGCAAGAGGUAAAAGAGACCAACAGAGCUUUUGAUUAUGUGUUAUUCCAGCUCAUUGUCAGAUAGUUAAGUGUCAGAUUUUUGACCAUUGCACUUUUAUUGUGAGCUCUAAACCUUCCAGAACUGAAGAAGCUUCUUCUAAAGGUAAAGAAAGAAACUUUUUUUGGGAGUUAGGUUUUUUUUUUUGUCUGAUUUUUUUUUCUUUCGGAUUUGUCCCUUUUUUCAGGGCUUGCCUGAUAGUCACUUUUAUUGUGAGCUGUAUUUGACUUAAGAGUUGUGAAGCUUCUUCUAAAGGUGAAGAAAGAAACUUUUUGGACUUGUUUUUUUUUUGUUAGUUAAUGAAAAAAUUAAUUGUGUGCCGUAUUUGACUGCUGUAAACCUUCCAGCGUAAGCCUUGUCUUCUUUAGGGAAAAAGGGAAAAAAAUUAAAAAAAGGUUGUUUUUUUAGUAUAGUUAUGUAAAACUUCGUUGUGCCUUAAUGCUAGUCACUUUCAUUGUGAGCUGUAUUUGACUGUUGUAAAUAUUCCAGAAUAAAGGAACCUGUUGGACCACUCCUUUCCAAA